UGAAAUAUGGUUGAGAGGGGGAAUGUAGAGCGUGUGCUUAGCAUGCACAAGGUCCUUGGUUCAAUCCCCAGUAUUUCCA
rnacentral:tRNA from 1 species